rnacentral:rRNA from 1 species
CACGUAGGGGCCAAGCGUUGUCCGGAUUUAUUGGGCGUAAAGAGCUCGUAGGCGGCUCGGUAAGUCGGGUGUGAAACCUCCAGGCUCAACCUGGAGACGCCACCCGAUACUGCUGUGGCUAGAGUCCGGUAGGGGAGCGUGGAAUUCCUGGUGUAGCGGUGAAAUGCGCAGAUAUCAGGAGGAACACCAGCGGCGAAGGCGGCGCUCUGGGCCGGAACUGACACUGAGGAGCGAAAACGUGGGUAGCAAACAGGG